UUCGGCCCUGAGUAGAGCGGCGAACGGGUGAGUAACACGUGGGUGACCUGCCUGGGGGUGGGGGAUUCUUAGGGGAAACUCGGGCUAAUACCGCAUACGUUCCCGGAGCUACCGUUCCGGGAGGAAAGGUGGCCUCUGCUUGCAAGCUACCGCUCCCAGAGGGGCCCGCGGCUGAUUAGCUAGUUGGUGGGGUAAUGGCUCACCAAGGCGACGAUCAGUAGCCGGCCUGAGAGGGUGAUCGGCCACACUGGAACUGAGACACGGUCCAGACUCCUACGGGAGGCAGCAGUGGGGAAUAUUGGACAAUGGGGGAAACCCCUGAUCCAGCAACGCCGCGUGGGGGAUGAAGGUCUUCGGAUUGUAAACCCCUGUUAAGAGAGACGAAGGCUUUCGGGCGAACAGUCCGGAAGCUUGACGGUACCUCUAGAGGAAGCCCCGGCUAACUCUGUGCCAGCAGCCGCGGUAAUACAGAGGGGGCGAGCGUUAUUCGGAAUUAUUGGGCGUAAAGGGCGCGUAGGCGGCUGGGCAAGUCCAAGGUGAAAUCCCUCGGCUCAACCGAGGAACUGCCCUUGGAAACUGCCCCGGCUUGAGGCCGGGGGAGGGUAGUGGAAUUCCCAGUGUAGCGGUGAAAUGCGUAGAUACUGGAAGGAACACCGGUGGCGAAGGCGGCUACCUGGACCGGUUCUGACGCUGAGGCGCGAAAGCGUGGGGAGCAAACAGGAUUAGAUAC
rnacentral:rRNA from 1 species